AUUGAACGCUGGCGGCAGGCCUAACACAUGCAAGUCGAGCGAGCGGCGGACGGGUGAGUAAUGUCUGGGAAACUGCCUGAUGGAGGGGGAUAACUACUGGAAACGGUAGCUAAUACCGCAUACCAUCAGAUGUGCCCAGAUGGGAUUAGCUAGUAGGUGGGGUAACGGCUCACCUAGGCGACGAUGCCUAGCUGGUCUGAGAGGAUGACCAGCCACACUGGAACUGAGACACGGUCCAGACUCCUACGGGAGGCAGCAGUGGGGAAUCUUCCGCAAUGGGCGAAAGCCUGAUGGAGCAACGCCGCGUGAGUGAAGAAGGCCUUCGGGUUGUAAAGCACUGUCAGCGGGGAGGCGUUACCCACACAGGAAGCAACGGCUAACUCCGUGCCAGCAGCCGCGGUAAUUC
rnacentral:rRNA from 1 species